ACAUAACUGACAAUCAUGUUCAACACCUAUGCCUUCCUUCAGGAUAAAAGCAUUUAAAAGCACUGCCUUUUGGGGAGGAGUUAAUAAGCCAUUUUAUGCUGCGGUUCAUCAGUUCAUCGUUUACUAGGCAAGAGAUUGGAUGACACCUGAUUCGGGCUCAUUUUCAGCCAGCAAGAAUACCACAAGAACGUUGACAGAGAGAAGUUUCAUUUCUCUCCAAGCCUGAUGGUGAGAAAUGCACAUGAAGCUCAGACUUGAAUCCAAGGACCCUGCCUAGAUUUCUGUACCAGGGACCACCCUGAAGAUACACCCUCUACUCUAUCUCUAAACACAGGCUACCAGGAUCUGCUUGGGCAACAUGUGAUGUCAUCAUAAAUCACCCCCCCACACACAC